rnacentral:rRNA from 1 species
GUAGGGUGCUAGCGUUGUCCGGAUUUAUUGGGCGUAAAGAGCGUGUAGGCGGCCAGGUAGGUCUGCUGUGAAAACUCGAGGCUCAACCUCGAGACGUCGGCGGAAACCAUCUGGCUAGAGUCCGGAAGAGGAGAGUGGAAUUCCUGGUGUAGCGGUGAAAUGCGCAGAUAUCAGGAAGAACACCCGUGGCGAAGGCGGCUCUCUGGGACGGUACUGACGCUGAGACGCGAAAGCGUGGGGAGCGAACAGG